CCUACGGGUGGCAGCAGUGAGGAAUAUUGGUCAAUGGACGCAAGUCUGAACCAGCCAAGCCGCGUGCAGGAAGACGGUUCUAUGAGUUGUAAACUGCUUUUGUACGAGGGUAAACGCAGAUACGUGUAUAUGUCUGAAAGUAUCGUACGAAUAAGGAUCGGCUAACUCCGUGCCAGCAGCCGCGGUAAUACGGAGGAUUCAAGCGUUAUCCGGAUUUAUUGGGUGUAAAGGGUGCGUAGGCGGCCGGAUAAGUCAGAGGUGAAAGCCCGGGGCUCAACUUCGGAAUUGCCGCUGAUACUGUUCGGCUAGAGAGUAGUUGCGGUAGGCGGAAUGUAUGGUGUAGCGGUGAAAUGCUUAGAGAUCAUACAGAACACCGAUUGCGAAGGCAGCUUACCAAGCUACUACUGACGUUGAGGCACGAAAGCGUGGGGAGCAAACAGGAUUAGAUACCCCAGUAGUC
rnacentral:rRNA from 1 species